rnacentral:rRNA from 1 species
UUUUUUCCCCGGUNAUAUAAGCAUAUAGUAAGCGGAGGAUAAGAAACUAAAUAGGAUUCCCUCAGUAAUGGCGAAUGAACAGGGAUAAGCUCAGCAUGGAAAUCGGGGCCUGUGGCCUUGAAUUGUAGUCUCGAGAAGCAUUGCCAACGGAGGCGCAGAUGUAAGCCUCUUGGAAAAGAGCAUCAACGAGGGUGAGAGUCCCGUUUGUCAUCUGCAGUCCCCCGUGCACGGUGUGCUUUCAUAGAGUCACGUUCCUCGGGAUUGGAGCGCAAAGUGGGUGGUAAAUUUCAUCUAAAGCUAAAUAUAGGUUCGAGACCGAUAGCAAACAAGUACCAUGAGGGAAAGGUGAAAAGGACUUUGAAAAGAGAGUUAAAAGUGCCUGAAAUUGCUGAAAGGGAAGCGAAUGGAACCAGUGUUUCUUGGCAAGAUUGGUGCGUGCUAAUGUGAUUGGCUGCUACCUCAGCGCAAGCGUGGUGGUGGUUUUUGAUCAGGACGUGCGUGUUGUUUCUUGCCUUGUGUGUCAACGUCAGUUCUCGAUCGAGGAAAACGCCUAGUACAUGGUAGCUCGUCUCCGGGUGAGUGAAUAUGCUGGGUUGAACUCAUUCGUGAACUGUUUCCUGCGUGUCUGGUUGCAGUGUGCUUUGUGCUCAUGACCUGGGUGAAGCUUCGGCUGAGCUUUGGGAUUGUUCACUGGUGCAUCUCCCUGACACAACGACGAUGACUAAAUGGUUCUAUUCGACCCGUCUUGAAACACGGACCAAGGAGUCUAACAUAUGUGCGAGUUCACGGGCGGGUAAACCUGCUUGCGCAAUGAAAGUGACUGCUGGGAUCUUUGCACCAGCAACCGACCAAUCAAUUGAGAGAGGUUUGAGUAUGAGCAUAUCUGUUAGGACCCGAAAGAUGGUGAACUAUGCGUGGUUAGGGCAAAGUCAGGGGAAACUCUGAUGGAGGCUCGUAGCGAUACUGACGUGCAAUCGUUCGUAAGAAGG